rnacentral:rRNA from 1 species
UACCCAAUCCCAACAUGGGGAGGUAGUGACAAGAAAUACUGAUAUAGGGUCCUAUAGGAUCUUGUAAUUGGAAUGAGUACAAUUUAAACCCAUUAACGAGGAACAACUAGAGGGCAAGUCUGGUGCCAGCAGCCGCGGUAAUUCCAGCUCUAGUAGCAUACAUUAAAAUUGUUGCAGUUAAAACGCCCGUAGUUGAAGCUUAGGUCCUUAUCAUCUAGUCUGCCUCACCGCUAGCACUGGUAUGAUUGGGCCUUUUUUCUUGGUAAACUGUUAUGCCCUUUAUUGGGUGUGGCAGUGAACUAGGACUUUUACUUUGAAAAAAUUAGAGUGUUUAAAGCAGGCUUUUGCUCGAAUACCUUAGCAUGGAAUAAUGGAAUAUGACGAGUGGUUGUUUUUCAUUGGUUUUCACGACUACCGUAAUGAUUGAUAGGGAUGGUCGGGGGCAUCGGUAUUC